rnacentral:rRNA from 1 species
AACGAACGCUGGCGGCAUGCCUAACACAUGCGAGUCGAACGAUGCCUUCGGGCAUAGUGGCGCACGGGUGCGUAACGCGUGGGAAUCUGCCUUUCGGUUCGGAAUAACUCAGGGAAACUUGAGCUAAUACCGGAUAACGUCGCAAGACCAAAGAUUUAUCACCGAAAGAUGAGCCCGCGUAGGAUUAGCUAGUUGGUGAGGUAAAGGCUCACCAAGGCGACGAUCCUUAGCUGGUCUGAGAGGAUGAUCAGCCACACUGGGACUGAGACACGGCCCAGACUCCUACGGGAGGCAGCAGUGGGGAAUAUUGGACAAUGGGCGAAAGCCUGAUCCAGCAAUGCCGUGUGAGUGAUGAAGGCCUUAGGGUUGUAAAGCUCUUUUACCCGGGAAGAUAAUGACGGUACCGGGAGAAUAAGCCCCGGCUAACUCCGUG